UUCCUCUUCUGUUGCUUCUUCUACGCCUUCACCGUCAAAUACAGGUGGACCUUCAUAAUCGCCAUUCCCCUCAUCAACAAAGAGUCCCCUGCGUGGAUUUUUAGGGCACUCAGACUGCCUAUGGACUGUAACUCCGCAUCCAAAACAACGAAUACCAACCCUAGGACGUGUUGGUUGUUGAACAGGAUUUGUUCUAAGAGGACCAGAUUGAGCAAGAUUACCAGGAUGUGUCACCUGUUGUUGUGGGUUAUUGGAAGAACUCCCUGCAAUGAAAGGACUAGUAGUUCUUCUGGAUUGUUGCUUCUCUAUCUGUAUUGCCCUCUGAUGUGCUUCAGAAACUAUCGCAGGACCAAACAUAUUGAGAGUAUCUUGUAUUUGGGAACGAAGACAACCCACGUACCGUGACACCAACUGCUCCUCCGUCUCCAUCAUCUCGUUCCUCGUAACCAACAUAUAAAAAUUCGUGGUAUAAUCACUAACUAUUUUCCCACCUUGACGCAGAUUCUGCAAUUGUUGGUACAUGAUCCGCAAAUAAUUGUCAGGCAGAAACUGUUUCUUCAUAUGCUUCUUCAAUUUGUCCCACGAUGCAAGCUUGAAAUUCCCUAGCCUGGAUCUAGUCACUUUAGUCUACUGCCACCACGCCGCUGCUCGCCCACGAAGCCUCGUCGCAACGAGAGGCACACAUUUAUCAACAAGAACCUCUUUAAACUCCAAGAUCUCCUCCACUGCAGUCACCCAAUCCAAGAAUUCUUCUGGACUUAACCCACCAUGAAAUUCUGGAAUAUCAACCUUAAAUCCUGAUUCCCAACGUCGGUUGUCCUCCUGACUACCC
rnacentral:lncRNA from 1 species